rnacentral:tRNA from 1 species
AUUUAAGUAGUUUAUGAAAAAUAUAGGUUUGUGGUUCCUAAGAAGUUUAUUUCCUUAAAUU